rnacentral:rRNA from 1 species
UACGAAGGGGGCUAGCGUUGUUCGGAAUUACUGGGCGUAAAGCGCACGUAGGCGGGUUUGUAAGUAGGGGUGAAAUCCCUGGGCUCAACCCAGGAACUGCCUUCUAGACUGCAAGCCUGGAGGUCAGGAGAGGCGAGUGGAAUUCCCAGUGUAGAGGUGAAAUUCGUAGAUAUUGGGAAGAACACCGGUGGCGAAGGCGGCGCUCUGGACCGAGACUGACGCUGAGGCGCGAAAGCGUGGGGAGCA